UGGGGAAUAUUGCACAAUGGACGGAAGUCUGAUGCAGCAACGCCGCGUGCGGGAUGACGGCCUUCGGGUUGUAAACCGCUUUUUUUCAUGACGAAGUUUUUUGACGGUAGUGGGGGAAGAAGCACCGGCUAACUACGUGCCAGCAGCCGCGGUGAUACGUAGGGUGCGAGCGUUGUCCGGAAUUAUUGGGCGUAAAGAGCUUGUAGGCGGUUUGUCGUGUCGAUCGUGCAAACUCAGUGCUUAACGCUGAGCCUGCUGUAGAUACGGGCAGACUAGAGGAAGGUAGGGGAGAAUGGAAUUCCCGGUGGAGCGGUGGAAUGCGCAGAUAUCGGGAGGAACACCGGUGGCGAAGGCGGUUCUCUGAGCCUUUCCUGACGCUGAAACGCGAAAGCGUGGGGAGCGAACAGG
rnacentral:rRNA from 1 species